UCCCCUCCAAAAUCCUCUCCAUUCUCUCCAUCAAAGAGCAGUGUUCUCACUGCUGCAAUUUGUUUUGCCACUGCACCAUUCAUUUUGAAGCCUAAACAUGUUCAUUACAAUGUUGCCAUUCUCUUCUAUACAGAGCUCAUGGGUUGCAUCCAAGAUCAACCCAUCUCCCACACUUGAUCUUGCAGCAACGUCGCCCUCAUCAUCUUAAGGUCAUGUUGUGCUGAUGCACCCCUAAAUGGAUGUCACUUUGAUGUUCCUCCCUAUCUCACAAGCCUGCAGUACUUACCCAUGCUUAUCGCAGGUUAUCUUGCCGCUGAUCGUCAGCGUCAAUUCCCCAUCGAGGUCGUUGCCUGCUGUAUAUAAUCCCCAUGUGAGAACCCACACUUUCCUCUCUACUGCAAUUUUUAUGUCAUAAAUCAUGAUUCCAUCGAUUAUAUGAUGUUAUAUUUUUAAGUGUGUUGCUGUCCCGUGCAAACAGCAGCUGCACGGUCAGUUGGCAUGCAUGUUCCCAUCAAUGUAUAAUCUCAUUUACAAAUUUCUUUGAAUGACAUGUGUUUCAUAUCCUUGAGAACAUCUCAUCAAAAAUUCAUGGCCUUAGAGCUCAAUACGAAAGAGAUAUAAAUGUUCUUGUGCAUGAUGUCCCUGCUGCCCUGCAGCACAGUUGCUACCGGUUGGCAUGCGUGUACCAGAUGUUCCAUCACUCCAGUGAACAUGUUCUUCAACCACAAUGUGUUUCAUAUCCUUGCAUACACACCUGAGAAAUUCCAUAACAAUAGGAUUCAAGAUAAAAGCGAUAUUAUUUUUCUUGUGCUCACUGUCCCUGCUGCCCUGGAGCCCACGAUGCAAUCAGUUGGUACAUGUGUUCCCAAAAAUCUGUUGCUCCAUUUGACAAAUUCUUUUAUCCACAUGUGUAUCAUGAACUUGCACAUGUUUCUGCAAGUUGGUUUGGCCAUAGGUGCCACGAUGUCUGAGAUAUUGAUGCCUCAAUAUUUGUCUUCCCUGCUGUCCAGAAAACAGCUAUGUCACUUGCUUUGUAUUCUUGUUUCCUGACUAACGAAUGAUCAAAACAUCAUGUUCUUUUGUAGUAA